rnacentral:rRNA from 1 species
UACAGAGGGUGCGAGCGUUAAUCGGAAUUACUGGGCGUAAAGCGUGCGUAGACGGUAGCGUAAGUCAGAUGUGAAAGCCCCGGGCUCAACCUGGGAAUUGCAUUUGAGACUGCUCUGCUAGGGUGCGGAAGAGGGAAGCGGAAUUUCCGGUGUAGCGGUGAAAUGCGUAGAUAUCGGAAGGAACACCAGUGGCGAAAGCGGCUUCCUGGUCCAGCACCGACGUUCAGGCACGAAAGCGUGGGGAGCAAACAGG